rnacentral:rRNA from 1 species
UACGGGGGGGGCAAGCGUUGUUCGGAAUUACUGGGCGUAAAGGGCUCGUAGGUGGCCAACUAAGUCGGACGUGAAAUCCCUCAGCUUAACUGGGGAACUGCGUCCGAUACUGGAUGGCUUGAGUUUGGGAGAGGGAUGCGGAAUUCCAGGUGUAGCGGUGAAAUGCGUAGAUAUCGAGAGGAACACCUGCGGCGAAGGCGGGUUGCUGGGCUGAUACUGACGCUGAUGCGCGAAAGCCAGGGGAGCGAACGGG